rnacentral:rRNA from 1 species
UUUAGGAGAAGUCUUAUUGUGAGGGCGAGUUAUAUAACACCAUAGGACUGGCCGUCCCAUAUGAAAAGAUUAUAUUAGAAUUGAAUGAAGCUUUGUUUAUAUAUUGAUAAUGACAGUAUAUAUAUCGUGUCUUGACUAAUUGCGUGCCAGCAGUCGCGGUAAUACGUAAGAGACUAGUGUUAUUCAUCUUAAUUAGGUUUAAAGGGUACCCAGACGGUCAAUAUAGCUUAUAAAAUGUUAGUACUUGACUAGAGUUUUAUGUAAGAGGGCAGUACUUGAGGAGGAGAGAUGAAAUUUCGUGAUACCAAAGGGACUCUGUAAAGGCGAAGGCAGCCCUCUAUGUAAAAACUGACGUUGAAGGACGAAGGCACAGAGAACAAACAGGAUUAGAUACCCAAGUAGUCUUUGCAGUAAAUGAUGAAUGCCAUAGGUUAGAUUGGUCAAUUAUAGUCUAGGGUUAGUCUAGCAAACUAAUACCCUAUGCUAUAAUCCUAAUAUCUGGUCUAUAAAUGAAAGUGUAAGCAUUUC